UACGGAGGAUGCAAGCGUUAUCCGGAAUUAUUGGGCGUAAAGCGUCCGCAGGCGGCUAUUCAAGUCUGUCGUCAAAGACUGGGGCUUAACCCUGGAAAGGCCGUGGAAACUGAAGAGCUAGAGUGCAGUAGGGGUAGAGGGAAUUCCCGGUGUAGCGGUGAAAUGCGUAGAGCUCGGGAAGAACAUCGGUGGCGAAAGCGCUCUGCUGGACUGCAACUGACACUCAGGGACGAAAGCUAGGGGAGCAAACGGG
rnacentral:rRNA from 1 species